AAGCUGAGGCAGGAAAUGUAGGAUCACCUCUCAAAGUUGGAGCAGGAGAUCACUAGAGCCUCUAAAAUGAACAGGAAGGAUGAAGAGGAGGCCCGGGUCAAGCUGCAGGAGUCAAAGAUACACCAGAGACCAGGGGCUCCCACCCAGACCUCUGUACCAAGCCCAAGCCCAAGCUCAGUAGUAACGCAGAAUGAAGGCCUGCAAGUGAAUGUACAAGACAGUACAAUGCAGUGGUACCAUCAAAUUCAGGAUACUUGUGCCAAAUGUGUGCUGGCCUUUGAGGACCUGACCAGCAGCAAGAACAGUCAGACCAAAAGGAUAAAAAUGGACUUGCAGAAUGCAGCCACCAUCCCAGUGAGUCAGAUCUCUACCAUCUCAGGUUCAAAGCUGAAGGAGGUCUUUGAUGAGAUCCAUAGCCUGCUCUCUGGAAAGCCUGUCCAAUCAGGUGGGCGUUCUGUGUCUGUUGCUCUUAACCCACAGGGGCUGAAAUUUGUCCAGUACAAACUGGCAGAGAAUUUUGUGAAACAAGGAGAGGAGAAAGUGGCCUCUCACCAUGAAGCAGCAUUCCCCAUUGCGGUGGUGGCAUCUGGUAUCUGGAAGCUCCACCCUAAAGUGGGAGGCCUCAUUCUCGCUCAUCUCCACAAGAAGUGUCCGUACUCCGUUCCUUACUACCCAGCUUUCAAGGAAGGGAUGGAUUUGGAGGAAUAUCACCAGAUGCUUGGCUACCAAGUGAUAGAUUCCAAGGUUGAGCAACAGGAGAGCUUUAUAAAACGAAUGUCUGGGAUGAUCCGUUUAUAUGCCGCCAUCAUCCAGCUCCAGUGGCCAUAUGGAAACCGUCAGGAGGCUCAUCCUCAUGGCUUAAAUCACGGCUGGCGCUGGUUGGCACAGAUCUUAAACGUGGAGCCUCUCUCAGAUGUGACAGCCACUCUCCUGUUUGAUUUCUUGGAGGUGUGUGGGAAUGCCCUCCUGAAGCAGUACCAAGUCCAGUUCUGGAAAAUGAUACAACUCAUCAAAGAGGACUACUUGCCCAGAAUUGAAGCCAUCACGAGCCCAGGACAGAUGGGCUCUUUGAUACAUCUGAAGCAGUUCUUGGAUAAAUGUCUGCAACGCAGGAAUAUUCCUGUUCCCAGAGGCUUUCUGACUGCCUCCUUCUGGCAGUCUUAAUGUCCCCCAUUACACUGUGUGGCAGGAGGGGUAACAAUAAAGCAAUAGGCGAUUU